rnacentral:rRNA from 1 species
UCGGGAAUUUUGGGCAAUGGGCGAAAGCCUGACCCAGCAACGCCGCGUGAGGGAUGAAGUAUUUCGGUAUGUAAACCUCGAAAGAAUGGGAAGAAUAAAUGACGGUACCAUUUAUAAGCUCCGGCUAACUACGUGCCAGCAGCCGCGGUAAUACGUAGGGAGCAAGCGUUGUUCGGAUUUACUGGGCGUAAAGGGCGCGUAGGCGGCGCGGUAAGUCACUUGUGAAAUCUCUGAGCUUAACUCAGAACGGCCAAGUGAUACUGCUGUGCUAGAGUGCGGAAGAAGCAACCGGAAUUCUUGGUGUAGCGGUGAAAUGCGUAGAUAUCAAGAGGAACACCUGAGGCGAAGGCGGGUUGCUGGGCCGACACUGACGCUGAUGCGCGAAAGCCAGGGGAGCAAACG